rnacentral:rRNA from 1 species
AGCGGCGGACGGGUGAGUAAUGCCUAGGAAUCUGCCUGGUAGUGGGGGAUAACGUUCGGAAACGGACGCUAAUACCGCAUACGUCCUACGGGAGAAAGCAGGGGACCUUCGGGCCUUGCGCUAUCAGAUGAGCCUAGGUCGGAUUAGCUAGUUGGUGGGGUAAUGGCUCACCAAGGCGACGAUCCGUAACUGGUCUGAGAGGAUGAUCAGCCACACUGGAACUGAGACACGGUCCAGACUCCUACGGGAGGCAGCAGUGGGGAAUAUUGGACAAUGGGCGAAAGCCUGAUCCAGCCAUGCCGCGUGUGUGAAGAAGGUCUUCGGAUUGUAAAGCACUUUAAGUUGGGAGGAAGGGCCAUUACCUAAUACGUGAUGGUUUUGACGUUACCGACCGAAUAAGCACCGGCUAACUCUGUGCCAGCAGCCGCGGUAAUACCGAGGGUGCAAGCGUUAAUCGGAAUUACUGGGCGUAAAGCGCGCGUAGGUGGUUUGUUAAGUUGGAUGUGAAAUCCCCGGGCUCAACCUGGGAACUGCAUUCAAAACUGACUGACUAGAGUGUGGUAGAGGGUGGUGGAAUUUCCUGUGUAGCGGUGAAAUGCGUAGAUAUCUGAAGGAACACCGAUGGCGAAGGCGACCACCUGGACUGAUACUGACACUGAGGUGCGAAAGCGUGGG